rnacentral:rRNA from 1 species
GACGAACGCUGGCGGCGUGCCUAAUACAUGCAAGUAGAACGCUGAAGGCGGAGCUUGCUUCUCUGGAUGAGUUGCGAACGGGUGAGUAACGCGUAGGUAACCUGCCUGGUAGCGGGGAUAACUAUUGGAAACGAUAGCUAAUACCGCAUAAUAUUGACUAUUGCAUGAUAGUCCGUUGAAAGGUGCAACUGCACCACUACCAGAUGGACCUGCGUUGUAUUAGCUAGUUGGUGGGGUAACGGCUCACCAAGGCGACGAUACAUAGCCGACCUGAGAGGGUGAUCGGCCACCCUGGGACUGAGACACGGCCCAGACUCCUACGGGAGGCAGCAGUAGGGAAUCUUCGGAAAUGGGCGGAAGUCUGACCGAGCAACGCCGCGUGAGUGAAGAAGGUUUUCGGAUCGUAAAGCUCUGUUGUAAGAGAAGAACGAGUGUGAGAGUGGAAAGCUCACACUGUGACGGUAUCUUACCAGAAAGGGACGGCUAACUACGUG